CAACAUUGCUUCUUUUAUCAAAAAUUCUAAGUUUUGGACAUCUUGGCUUGGUAUGUCCUUCUUCUUGACAAUGAUAGCAAAUAAUUUUUCUCCUUGUUCCUUCAUUUGUACGAUUGAAGUGAGGAGGUCUAUAAGGUCUCAAGUGGGCCCCCGGCCUAGAUGUGGCAAGCACAUUGUUGACUUUCUCUUUAUCAAGACAAAGACGAUUUUCCUCCAUUUGAAGUUCCGAAAUAGCCUCAUUCAUAGAUGGUGUUUUAGAACGAUGAAGUAAAGCGGUUUUGACACCAUCAAAUUCCGGUCUAAGACCUAUGAUAAACUUGUAAAACUUCUCACGUUGUAUUUGUUUUUCUCUAAGAAUAAGAUCUUGUGUCCAAUGUGGUUCAAAAAUACUCAAUUCAUCAUAUAAUUGAUCCAUUUCAGCCACAUAAUCUUUAAUGGAUAUAUCUCCUUGUUGAAGAUUGUGAAUUUUGAGUUGAACAUGAUGCAUAUAAGCAACAUCUCUCAUGGUAUGAAUUUUCUUUAGAUAUUCCCAAGCUUCUAGGGCAGAAUUUAAUUUAGAGAUUUGCCCGCUAGUAGCAUUGUCAACACAAGUCAAGAUCCAAGUAAUGAUUUUGUGAUGACCAACACUCCAUUCUUCCCAUUUUUUGUUGUAUUCAGCCAUUACCUUCUCUUUUUCGGUUGCAUCCAAUUCCAUAGCCCUUCCAUCAACAACUUUCGUAAGGACUAGUUGUGGUUCAAGUUUUGUCCCAUCAACUAGUCCCCAAAGGCUUUUACUACGAAUAAAGUGUUCCAUAGUUCUAGCCCAUUGUAUGUAAUUUGUUGAUGAGAGUUUGGGAAAAGGAAGAGAAGAGACUUUGUCAUCCAUGGGCACAAUCAACAAGGUAGAUCCACUUACAAGUUAUGAAGAAGAUGGCAACCACGUGAAAAGAAGUCCACGGCAAGGAUAAAAACUCAACAAUGAUAGAAACCAGUCACCCUUUCAACAGCCACGAGCUCACCACCAAGGAAGCUAGAUUUCGUCAAGAAAUCACCAAAAAGAAGCCAGCAAAAACACUUUUCUUCUUGUGUAAAACUGCAGCAAGCAAUAUCUCGAACACUUGGAGUGCUUCACAGCUCCAACGCAAGAAUAAAAACUGAACCUUCAAUCUUGAAUGGCAGCAAGACAAAGAGCCAAAGACGAGGCUCUGAUACCAUGUAAAUCAGGCCCAAAGAAACAACCUCUUCAAGUAAUAUCAGCCUUGAAGCUUUCACCAACAAGUCAAUCUCACAAACCCUCAAACAAGAGGUGAAGAACUUAAAUUAAUCACACAAAGAGAUACAAGAAGUAGGCUAAAAAGCCAUACUUAAAACAAUGGGAGAGCUGCCCUAUUUAUAGAGGAGAGGGCCAAAGAGAAGAAGGAGGAGGCAGUCCCAACGGCUAGAAAUCUAGCCGUUGGGACUAGUCUCCCUCUAUGAAAAAUAGAAAAAGGAGAGGGAUAAAAGGGGAAAACAGAAAAUAAUACAUAAAGAAAAAAUACAUAAAGAAAGUGAAAAUUACAUAAGUGUCCUAAGUACCCAAAAUAUAAAAUAUAUAUAUAUAUAUAUAAAGCAUAUAUUAGAUGACUAAUAUAUGUGAUAUAUAUAAAUGUAUAUAUGUAUACAUAUGGGAUACAUACAUUCUAACACCCUCUUUCUGUAAUUUGGCAGGAUUAUUGGAAGUUCCAAAGAAGAUGCUGCAUAUCUUAUGCGUCGUCAUCAUGUUUUCCUUUCUUGACCAUUGACUAUGGGGAUUGUUCUCGAUAAAAACAUAAUUGAUCAACUUUUUAAUUAUUAAAAUGAUGUCUUUUCACGUGCUUUCCACAUCCAGAUAUGCUGAUUUUGGGUUAUGAACUUUGUAUGGGAUGGUCCAAGGGGUUACGUGUUUAUGGACACAAUAGGAGCAGAGAGACAUGCUGGACACAAUAGGAGCAGGGAGACAUGCUUCGUUAGUUGACACGAACUAAUGGAACAAGUUGACUAUCGAAGUUAGUUCAGCAGAUCGUAGAAGCAGUUAGUUCAGCAGAUCGUAGAAUAUGGUCUCUAUAGCUUACCAUGUUGCACAAUAGUCAGUCACAUGAAGAUCACCAAGAGAUGCAUCAAAGCUCACCACCCCAUUUCAGCAUCAAGUUAACACACUACAACCAGAGUGCUAAUCAGUCCCACUCAAAUGUUUAAGGGCCACAUGAAAUGUCUUUCAAAUUUUGUUCUUCAAUGUCUUACUGAGUUUCUGUAUGAGACUAUGAUGUUUCCAUGCAUUAACAUGGCUUCCUUUGAAAUCAGCUAGAAAUGUUGUUGCUUGGCUAAAGCAACAGGAAACUCUGGAGACUCUUGCUAUGUUUGUUAGUAAAUUUCUCCUUACGAGCUAAGAUCUUGAGCAGGACCAGGUCAAUUCUGCCCUUUCUGCUGCAAGAUUAUUGGAAGUUCCAAAGAAGAUGCUGCAUAUCUUAUGCGUCGUCAUCAUGUUUUCCUUUCUUGACCAUUGACUAUGGGGAUUGUUCUCGAUAAAAACAUAAUUGAUCAACUUUUUAAUUAUUAAAAUGAUGUCUUUUCACGUGCUUUCCACAUCCAGAUAUGCUGAUUUUGGGUUAUGAACUUUGUAUGGGAUGGUCCAAGGGGUUACGUGUUUAUGGACACAAUAGGAGCAGAGAGACAUGCUGGACACAAUAGGAGCAGGGAGACAUGCUUCGUUAGUUGACACGAACUAAUGGAACAAGUUGACUAUCGAAGUUAGUUCAGCAGAUCGUAGAAGCAGUUAGUUCAGCAGAUCGUAGAAUAUGGUCUCUAUAGCUUACCAUGUUGCACAAUAGUCAGUCACAUGAAGAUCACCAAGAGAUGCAUCAAAGCUCACCACCCCAUUUCAGCAUCAAGUUAACACACUACAACCAGAGUGCUAAUCAGUCCCACUCAAAUGUUUAAGGGCCACAUGAAAUGUCUUUCAAAUUUUGUUCUUCAAUGUCUUACUGAGUUUCUGUAUGAGACUAUGAUGUUUCCAUGCAUUAACAUGGCUUCCUUUGAAAUCAGCUAGAAAUGUUGUUGCUUGGCUAAAGCAACAGGAAACUCUGGAGACUCUUGCUAUGUUUGUUAGUAAAUUUCUCCUUACGAGCUAAGAUCUUGAGCAGGACCAGGUCAAUUCUGCCCUUUCUGCUGCAAGUUAGUUUCUUUUUGUUUUCAUUUUUGUAGUUCCAGUUUUUCACAGUUUGUCCGCAAGAAAACUUCACCUUGAAUUAGUAUUAUGUACUCUCUAAUUCUCAUAUUGAAUGUUUCUCUGAAAUGAAA